rnacentral:rRNA from 1 species
UACGAAGGGGGCUAGCGUUGCUCGGAAUCACUGGGCGUAAAGGGUGCGUAGGCGGGUCUUUUAAGUCAGGGGUGAAAUCCUGGAGCUCAACUCCAGAACUGCCUUUGAUACUGAGGAUCUUGAGUUCGGGAGAGGUGAGUGGAACUGCGAGUGUAGAGGUGAAAUUCGUAGAUAUUCGCAAGAACACCAGUGGCGAAGGCGGCUCACUGGCCCGGUACUGACGCUGAGGAGCGAAAGCGUGGGGAGCGAACAGGA